AUUGAACGCUGGCGGCAGGCCUAACACAUGCAAGUCGAGCGAGCGGCGGACGGGUGAGUAAUGUAUGGGGACUGCCCGAUAGAGGGGGAUAACUACUGGAAACGGUAGCUAAUACCGCAUACUAUCGGAUAACCCAUAUGGGAUUAGCUAGUAGGUGAGGUAAUGGCCCACCUAGGCGACGAUCCCUAGCUGGUCUGAGAGGAUGAUCAGCCAUCCUGGGAGUGAGACGCGGCCCAGGUUCCUCCGGAGGCAGCAGGGGGGAAUAUUGCGCAGUGGGCGAAAGCCUGAUGCAGCCAUGCCGCGUGUAUGAAGAAGGCCCUAGGUGUGUAAAGUACUUUCAGUCGGGAGGCGUUACCGACAGAAGAAGCACCGGCUAACUCCGUGCCAGCAGCCGCGGUAAUAC
rnacentral:rRNA from 1 species